rnacentral:rRNA from 1 species
UACGUAGGUGGCGAGCGUUGUCCGGAAUUAUUGGGCGUAAAGGGCGCGCAGGUGGUGCGGUAAGACUGCCGUGAAAUCUCCCGGCUCAACCGGGAGGGUGCGGUGGAGACUGCCGGACUGGAGGCACUCAGAGGCCGGUGGAAUUCCCGGUGUAGUGGUGAAAUGCGUAGAGAUCGGGAGGAACACCAAUAGCGAAGGCAGCUCGCUGGGACGUUACUGACACUGAGGCGCGAAAGCGUGGGGAGCGAACAGG